UAGUAUCAGCGUGCCAGCCGCCGCGGUAAUACGUAGGUGGCGAGCGUUAUCCGGAAUUAUUGGGCGUAAAGAGCGCGCAGGUGGUUGAUUAAGUCUGAUGUGAAAGCCCACGGCUUAACCGUGGAGGGUCAUUGGAAACUGGUCGACUUGAGUGCAGAAGAGGGAAGUGGAAUUCCAUGUGUAGCGGUGAAAUGCGUAGAGAUAUGGAGGAACACCAGUGGCGAAGGCGGCUUCCUGGUCUGUAACUGACACUGAGGCGCGAAAGCGUGGGGAGCAAACAGGAUUAGAUACCCUGGUAGUCCACGCCGUAAACGAUGAGUGCUAAGUGUUGGGGGUCGAACCUCAGUGCUGAAGUUAACGCAUUAAGCACUCCGCCUGGGGAGUACGGUCGCAAGACUGAAACUCAAAGGAAUUGACGGG
rnacentral:rRNA from 1 species